CAGACAUCCCUAACUUAUAUAACAAGGAAAAACCAAUUAAUUUUAUGAGAAUGGUAUAUAUUUUAUACUAAAACUAGGUAAGUAUGAUACAAGAAAAGUACAGGCCCAUUUUAUUCAUGGAGAUGACUUUUAAAUUCUUUCUCUCUGUGUGUAUGUGCAUAUAUGCAUAUAGAUGUAAAAGUAUAUAGGUAGAUUAGAUAAAUAUAUACAGGUGUGUGUGCAUUUGUCAUGGUUGAUUAUGGGUGAAUUCAGGGUUGUAAAAAUGGUUCUAGAGUGAAAAAUCUUGUAGUAUAAUUUAUAUAUUAAUGGAUUAAAGACAAAAUCUCAUGAUUUUCACUGCUCUCAGACUUAUCUGAUUGGAUUGCAGUUGCAAUAAAAGGAUUUCAUGUAUUUCAACAUUUACUUAGCAUUACAAUUCAGUAAUAGGAAACCUUAAACAUUUCAAAAGUCAAGGGGACAAGGAUGUUAGCCACCAUUAACUGAAUUAAUGUUCAACAUAAUGUUAGUAGUCCUGAACAAUAAAAUAAAACAAACAAACAAAAAUCCAAGGUAUGAGAAUGAUGGGGGAGAAACAGACAUUUUUUCCCCUUCUUUUCUUUAUUUUUUGUAGGUGUUGUGACUGUCUACAAAGAAACCAGAGUUAGCAAAUUAUUAGUAUUAAGAGAGCAAGGAGCCGAAUACAAAACAAACUCACAAACUCAAAAGCAUUUAAAUUAUAGAAAAUACAAUUGAGACCGGUGGAGCCAAGAUGGCCGAAUAGGAAGAGCUCCAGUCUACAGUUCCCAGUGUGAGUGACGCAGAAGACGGGUGAUUUCUGCAUUUACAACUGAGAUAGCAAUGUUCAACUCUGAACGAAAUGCCAAAAACAAGUACCUGAAGGCUAAAGACAGUAAACAAAAGCAGGCAAGUUUUGGUGGGAAGAUGAAACUUGGAAGAAGGUGCCAUGAAGAGGAGGUUCACAGGCCUCCUAAAUUCUGUGCAUGGGCCCAUUUGUGGACCUGCCAACCCUAGACUAAGACCACUGACGGGAUAGCAGAGCUUGAUGUCUGCCUUCCUGGAUGACCUCAAGAUGGAGUCUUGCUCUGUUGCCCAGGCUGGAGUACAGUGGUAAGAUCGCGGCUCACUGCAACCUCCACCUCCUGGGUUCAAGCGAUUCCCCUGCCUCAGCCUCCUGAGUAGCUGGGACUACAACAGAAUCUAGAUCUCUCAACCCCUCACUGCCCCAGUUGCUCUCUGAUGCUUCACAGAUCAAAUAUAACAUUCUCCAGCUUUUCCAGCUGCUCUCAAAAGGAGACUAUAAGCAAGUCUACUAUUUUGGGAAACAUAAAUUGUGUUUAUAAUUAUAAAUAUAAACUAUGCACACAUCUAUGUAUAUGUGUUUAUGUGUGUGUGUAUAUCUAUAUAUCCAUAUAUAUGCACAUUCUGUAUGUUUCUAUUUUUAUUUCAUUUUCCAAACAAAUGUCUGUGGCUGAUAUGUAGAAAUUCAAGUGCUUUAUUUUAAUAGUGCUUUUAAUAGGCACACAUAGAGAACAAAGAUGAUUAGAAGUGGCCAUACUGGAUACCUUUGCCUUGUUUUCGUUGUUAGUUUCAACAUUUUACUAUGUGUGAUUAAAUAUAUGAUGCUGGAUUUAUGAUAUUUGCUUCUCUUAAUGCCUAAUAGAUUGAGGAAGUUCUCUUUUAAGAAUGAGUUUGUGAAGUGUUUCUAUUACUAACGGAAGUUGAGUUAUUGACAAAGGCCUUUUCUGAUUCAUUGAGGUAAUUAUAUGAAUUUUUAAACUUUUAUGUUUAAAUGUGAUAUAUUACAUUAGUAUAUUUUCUAAAGCUAAACAAUCCUCCUGUUACGGACUUAAGGUGAACUAGGUCACAAUAUAGAUUGGAUCUUUAUACAUAACUCUGUUGUGCUGUGUAAGAGUACAAAUUAACAUGAUCGUUUUGAAAGCAGAAUGGCAAUAUUUUUGUUAGUUUGUGUUUAUCUAUGCCCUAUGUCCAAGCAAUUCAAUCUGGAUACAUCACAGAGGACUUGUCAGUCAGGUCCAUAAAGAAUCACAUACAAAGUUUGUUUUCAGUUGAUUAUAUGUAUAGGUGUAGCUGUAGGGAAUUGAAUAGACUUUAAUAUGUAUUACUAUGAAAUGGUUAAGAAACAUGUAGUGGAUGUGUAUUGUGGGACACUAUCCAACAGUUAGAUGCAACUCACUAGAUUUACCUGUAACAUGAAGAGCUCUUAAAAACAGCUCUAAGUGAAGAAAGAAAUAAACAUUAUAAAUCUUUAUCACAUUUUUAUGUAAAUUAAAAAUAUACAUACAAAGCACAAUACAUGGAUACACACAUAUUCAAAGAAAAAAUUAAAAAAGAAUUCUUCCUGCUUUUCUGGCUUUGUUUAUGACUCAUCCUGCUGCCCACCUGGGAUGGCCUGCCCCUGCACCAAUCUAGACUCUAUAUAUAGUCAGUGAAUCCCCAGCUCAGGGGCAAUCUCUACAGGAAACUUCCCAGCAUAACUCUAGACCACAAUGAUCUCCCCCAUAUUUUGAAUUCCUGUGACAUAUUCAUACAUUUUCCACUCAAACAAUGUCAUACAUAAAACAAGGCAAAAAAAUAUCAGCUGUAAACAGGUAUUUUUGAUGUCCUUCUUCCUCUCUCCAACUAGAUGUUAGGUUGAGUGACUAUAUCCAUGC